UUCAGAAAGGCUUGUGAAUGAAUGAUGAUGUGUGUUUGUGUCAAUGAAGAGCAGGUAUCUAUAGUGUGAAAACAGAUGGAAAGAAGGUAAGAAAAUAAUUAUGGAACUGGGUAUCAAUUUCAAAUCAAUCAGUAUAAGACUUUCUUUAAUUAUGGAAUUGAAUCAAACGGUAAUGAGCGACAAUUAUUUAAGGGAAGAAAUCAAAUUAGCAUCUUAUGCAAAGUAGGAAAUUAGGGGUAAAUACAAAAGAGUUUGCUUAAGAGAAGAAUUUUGAAAUACACGGUUAAAACAAAAUAAGGUAAGAAUCAAUUAGUA
rnacentral:lncRNA from 1 species